AGAGCGAACGCUGGCGGCAGGCUUAACACAUGCAAGUCGAGCGGGCACCUUCGGGUGUCAGCGGCAGACGGGUGAGUAACACGUGGGAACGUACCCUUCGGUUCGGAAUAACGCUGGGAAACUAGCGCUAAUACCGGAUACGCCCUUUUGGGGAAAGGUUUACUGCCGAAGGAUCGGCCCGCGUCUGAUUAGCUAGUUGGUGGGGUAACGGCCUACCAAGGCGACGAUCAGUAGCUGGUCUGAGAGGAUGAUCAGCCACACUGGGACUGAGACACGGCCCAGACUCCUACGGGAGGCAGCAGUGGGGAAUAUUGGACAAUGGGCGCAAGCCUGAUCCAGCCAUGCCGCGUGAGUGAUGAAGGCCUUAGGGUUGUAAAGCUCUUUUGUCCGGGACGAUAAUGACGGUACCGGAAGAAUAAGCCCCGGCUAACUUCGUGCCAGCAGCCGC
rnacentral:rRNA from 1 species